AUUUCCCUGGGGUGUGCGUGAUUUAUGCCUCGGUGCUAACCUGACAAGCAUAAAAAUGGGUGCCGUCUCUGCUUUUUGUGUGCAUGCCCGCGUUACGCGGGAAGCCUGAGAAAAGCAUACGGGUGCCCGACCUGGGAAACCAGGUUCUGCACCGCAGACAUGACACGGCGCUCUGGGGAUUAC
rfam:Desulfovibrio sp. 6_1_46AFAA genomic scaffold supercont1.5, whole genome shotgun sequence.